rnacentral:rRNA from 1 species
CUACGGGUGGCUGCAGUGGGGAAUAUUGGACAAUGGGCGAAAGCCUGAUCCAGCCAUGCCGCGUGUGUGAAGAAGGCCUUCGGGUUGUAAAGCACUUUCAGUGGGGAAGAAAGCCUUGGGGCUAAUACCCUCGAGGAAGGACAUCACCCACAGAAGAAGCACCGGCUAACUCCGUGCCAGCAGCCGCGGUAAUACGGAGGGUGCGAGCGUUAAUCGGAAUUACUGGGCGUAAAGCGCGCGUAGGCGGUCUGAUAAGCCGGUUGUGAAAGCCCCGGGCUCAACCUGGGAACGGCAUCCGGAACUGUCAGGCUAGAGUGCAGGAGAGGAAGGUUGAAUUCCCGGUGUAGCGGUGAAAUGCGUAGAGAUCGGGAGGAAUACCAGUGGCGAAGGCGGCCUUCUGGACUGACACUGACGCUGAGGUGCGAAAGCGUGGGUAGCAAACAGGAUUAGAUACCCUGGUAGUC